rnacentral:rRNA from 1 species
UGAACCUUUACUACAGCUUGGCACUGAACAUUGAACCUACAUGUGUAGGAUAGGUGGGAGACUUAGAAGCAGAGACGCUAGUUUUUGUGGAGUCGUCCUUGAAAUACCACCCUUGUAGUUUUGAUGUUCUAACGUUGGCCCCUGAAUCGGGGUUACGGACAGUGCCUGGUGGGUAGUUUGACUGGGGCGGUCUCCUCCCAAAGAGUAACGGAGGAGCACGAAGGUUGGCUAAGUACGGUCGGACAUCGUACGGUUAGUGUAAUGGUAGAAGCCAGCUUAACUGCGAGACAGACACGUCGAGCAGGUACGAAAGUAGGUCAUAGUGAUCCGGUGGUUCUGAAUGGAAGGGCCAUCGCUCAACGGAUAAAAGGUACUCCGGG